rnacentral:rRNA from 1 species
UACGUAGGGUGCAAGCGUUAAUCGGAAUUACUGGGCGUAAAGCGUGCGCAGGCGGUUGUGCAAGACCGAUGUGAAAUCCCCGGGCUCAACCUGGGAACUGCAUCUGUGACUGCAUAGCUAGAGUACGGUAGAGGGGGAUGGAAUUCCGCGUGUAGCAGUGAAAUGCGUAGAUAUGCGGAGGAACACCGAUGGCGAAGGCAAUCCCCUGGACCUGUACUGACGCUCAUGCACGAAAGCGUGGGGAGCAAACAGG